rnacentral:lncRNA from 1 species
AAGAAAUUUGUUAUUUAACGAAGAAAUUGUUCCCAUUGGCCAAUGGAAGCAAACCAAAGUGAUGCUAUUUUCAACUGGGAUUUCUUUAGCUGCCUUUUUGAAUUUCUGAACUUUUAAAGUAUUUUUUGGCUGUAUUUUUUUCUUUUUUUGCUACCUCUUGGGGUGAAGGAAAGGCUUCUUGCCUGUCUGCCAGCCAAGAGAUGAAGGUGUUCUCUGAUCUGUGAAUCAUCCACCCACCAGGCUCCAGACAAGCAGAUACCAAACAGAUUAUUUAAAGCAGCCGAGUGCUGACGGCGGAUUGAGAGAGAAGGAAUAAACCCCAGCAUUUUAAAGCCACCCCGUGGAACAGAGGGUAUGUAGAUUUAUUUUCCAUGGCUUUCUUUAAUUAUUUCUUAAUCCUGCAAUUUCUGUGUUCUGCUUACCCCAGUUAUAUUCAGAGGAAUGUUUCAGAAUCAGGGAUAUCCAAAGAGGAAGAAAUUAAGGGAAAUAUUCACAUUGAGGCCACUCCCAGCACGUGACCAGAGCUGUGCUCUCCAUCACUCAGCAGCAGAGAAAAAUCUGGAGAUCAUUUCUAAUUCCACCAUGAAUUCCCUUCUUUUCCAGGGUCUGCCAGUGCUGGUGAAGUCUCUUUUGAGAAGCACAUGGAAAAUCUGCCAUCCCAAAUCCAGCUGCUCCUUCCCCCUGGCCAGCAGCCUGAGGAGGAGCUGUUUACAGGUGCUCCAUCCCAGCUCUGACUUCUGCUGGAUCUUUCCAUAUUCCUGAUCUCCUUUUGGCAGCUGGAUGGGAAGGGAAUGCCAUGGCCAAGGAGGGAUUGCCAAGGAGGGAUUACCAAGGUUCAAGAUGUAUUCCAAGGGAACACGAGUUCUGUGUGGCACCUCUACACCAGGUCAGUGCCUUCUCCCUGGACUCGCUGCCAGAGCUCUGAGGAGCAUCCCUGAUCGCUCAGGGUCUGCAGAUGGCUUUAAGGGUGAUCAAAAUGGCACAGUGGAAAUUCCCUGCUAUCAGGAAUUACAUAGCCGCAAGGCUGAAAUGAUUCAGUAAAUUGUAUUUGAUCAAUUUUUUUUCUUAUAGGAAGCAAAUGGCUGAUGAAAAGUUUCAGAAAGUGCUUUAUAAUCAGGCAGAGUGAGUCAGUUCUGUAUUUUCUGCUUUUUUUUCCAUUUUGUAAUUGGUUGGAAAAGUCUGUGAGUUCUGGUUUGUUGUUUACAAAGUGCUGAGAACACCGUGACACUUCUGAAAAUACAAAUAAUAGUGGCAGUGAACAGUAGCAUCAGACCUUUUCUGAUGGCUUGGAAAUCCCUGGAUUCUUUUAUUCUCCACCCCUUGGAGUAUCCUGUGCUUCCAUUUCUGGCUUUGGAUGCCAGUAAAGCACAGCUGGGGCUCUGGAGAUGGGACACAGAACCACACGGAUUUGGGCUGGCAGGGACAUGACUUCAUGUUCCUUUCUCCUUCAGCUUAUCUGAGGGGAGGAAACUGGGGACCUUAUCUUUUUCUGAGUGGAAAAACUGAUUUCAAGUGCACAUGUUUGAAGCUGCAGCAGUGAGCCAGGUUGGCUUGACUAAACCACAAAAUCUGACUGAGCCUAAUUAGAAACCAGGAUGCCUCCCAGCACUUAAAGGUUGCUUUCAAGAUUCUGAUGAGCUGACAAAACAGAUUAGUGAGAGGUGGGAUUGGUAUGAGCCAUGUUUG